AUUGAACGCUAGCGGGAUGCCUUACACAUGCAAGUCGAACGGAGUGGCGAACGGGUGAGGAAUGUAUCGGAACGUGCCCAUUAGCGGGGGACAACUACGAGAAAGCGUAGCUAAUACCGCAUGCUCUUGGAGCGGCCGCUAUAGGAUUAGCUAGUUGGAGGGGCAACGGCUCACCAAGGCGACGAUCCGUAGCUGGUUUGAGAGGACGAUCAGCCAAACGGGGACUGAGACACGGCCCAGACUCCUAAGGGAGGCAGCAGUGGGGAAUUUUGGACAAGGGAGGAAAGCCUGAUCCAGCCAUGCCGCGUGUGCGAUGAAGGCCUUCGGAUUGUAAAGAACUUUUGGCAGGGAAGCGGUACCUGCAGAAUAAGCACCGGCUAACUACGUGCCAGCAGCCGCGGUAAUUC
rnacentral:rRNA from 1 species